CAGUCGCCGCGGGAAUACGUAGGUGGCAAGCGUUGUCCGGAUUUAUUGGGCGUAAAGCGAGCGCAGGCGGUCAAUUAAGUCUGAUGUGAAAGCCCCCGGCUCAACCGGGGAGGGUCAUUGGAAACUGGUUGACUUGAGUGCAGAAGAGGAGAGUGGAAUUCCAUGUGUAGCGGUGAAAUGCGUAGAUAUAUGGAGGAACACUAGUGGCGAAGGCGACUCUCUGGUCUGUAACUGACGCUGAGGCUCGAAAGCGUGGGUAGCAAACAGGAUUAGAUACCCGAGUAGUCCCUGUCUCUUAUAC
rnacentral:rRNA from 1 species